rnacentral:sRNA from 1 species
UCAGCCCUUGAGGACGAUGAUGAAAUGGAGGAAGAAAGAAGACUUUGCUAUGUUGGAAUUACAAGGGCAAAGGAAAUAUUGUAUCUUACAUGUGCAAA